UUCUCCUCUCAGUUCUCUCACAGCACGAGAGCAGCGAGAUCCUAAUGUGCUCGCCCACCUCUCCACAGCGGCACCUCUGUCAGCGGCAUCCCUCCUCCGGCGAAGCUUCGCGGCAGGAGGCUCCAUGCGCACGGCCCGUUCUCCUCCCGACCAUGGCCGCGGCGCCCUUCCUUUCCCCAACCCGCAGCAGCGUGCCCUCCCCUUCUCCGACCCAUGGCGGUGCUGCCUAACUCGCAGUGGCGACAGCGUCUAUUCCCGUAUCUGAUCUCGGUGCGUCCUUCUCCCCUCACCUCCCUAACUGGCCAUGACGGGCCCCUCCACUUGCAGAUCCAGCAGGGACAAGGCCCCUCACCUCCCUGAUUGGUUGGGCGAGCCCCAUCCCCUCCAUGCGUUUGCAGUGCUGCACGAGUCCAGUUCUCUGUUGUCGUGAACCUACAGGAGGUGCAGGUGCUCAUUGCCAUGAAGUUUGUCAAGAUCGAGUGGAUAGCAGCAAGGCGUUGCGUCCAGACCAAGAGGCCACCGUUUUGCACCAAUGGUCACUGCGUAUCACCAGUUAUUCAUGCUUCUUUUUAUACAUUGUUUAAAAAAUUCUAUAUAUUAUUACAGCAUUUCUAUACAUUAUCAAACCAUAUUUCUAUGCAUUAUCAGAACACAUUAACGGACCUUAGAAUAAAAAUUUGUAUCAUGUUUCUACGCACUACUUAGUAAUUUAUUGGGAGCAUUCUAGCCUUCUAGGCUUGCUCUUGGGCUCCUCUCUUUUUUUGGAUUUGGAGAUACUAGUAGAUUGUACGUCAAUUAAUCUGUAUAAAAAAAUUGUGGCUCAAUUUUGAUCUUUUGCACGCUCCUGCAGCCCAAUUUGCUUGUUGAUUAAUAUGUAUUAAAAAUUAUUCCUGGUUUUUAUGCAUUCUAAUUUGGUUAGCCAUAACGUGAUUAUUGGAAUGGAACCCACCGGAGCCGUAGCGAAAGCGAGUCUUCAUAGGGCGAUUGUCACUGCUUAUGGACCCGAACCUGGGUGAUCUAUCAAGCUCCUGCAUUCUAAAACAUCUUUCUUGUGGCUAUUCUAUGAGAUUAAAAUAUUGUUUUUUUGUUCUAUGCUUGAUGAGUUAGUUUUUUAUGCAUUUAGUUAAUGUGUGUGAUAUGAUUUUAGUUGGAGUUGCUUGACCAAGCGGCAGCGUCUCCCUCAUCUGGCAACGGGCGCCAUUUCCCUCCCACCCAGCGGCGCCCUUUCCCUCCCACCUGGCGGCGCCGUCUUGCAUCCCGGUGGUCAGCGUCCCACCCCAUGUGCACGGAGAAAGAAUGGUUUCUAUUCACUGAGCUACAGUUGCUCUUGGCCAAGCGGCAGUGCGGCGCAGGGCGUUGGUGGGAUCCACCAAGCGACGGUAUCGGGUCGAGUGGAGGGUUAUAGGAGGCGCAAUGUGGCUGGACAAAAUGGUGAAGAAGCCGACGAGUUGGUGGUCCAAGGCCACGACGCCCACAACGCGUUGUUGCGGACUGAAGUGGCGCUCCUUGGCUAGCGGUGGUAUGAUCGAUGUUUUGUCGUGGCUUCAAGCCCACCCAGGCCAUGAGCGCCGAGCCCCUGGCCCCUUCCCCAACAUCUCCGGCAAUGGCAGCGGCGCCUCUUCCUCAGUGACCGUGGUCCCCAUCCUGCAUCCAGCAAUGGAUGAUCGAAAGGAUUCCUCUUUUUGGUGUGAGGUCAAUGGUGGCUCGGACAUCAUAGGACAUGGCUUGCGACGUCCGCAACUUCCUUGGCUUGUGACGGUGGUGUAGUGUGAUAUUCAAUACAGUUGAUGGGUUAAUAUAAAAAGUUAGUUUUUCAUAUGUUGUAUUUAUAUGUUUGGAUGACAUAAGUGAAACUAUUGGUUUCUAUGUAACCUCUGCUGGGUUUCAAUAUUUUGAUUGACUUAUUGUCUAUGCAUGUUGUGAGCUAGGAACAUUAUUCCACAUCUAGUGUGUAGUGUUUUGUAUGUUUCAUUCCCCUAGAGGGAAGUAUGGUGUAAGGUUUCUAUACAUUGUUGCUCUAUUAAAUAAACAUAUCCUGGUGCAAAGAA